UACGUAGGUGGCAAGCCGUUGUCCGGAUUUACUGGGCGUAAAGAGCGCGCAGGCGGUCGGAAUAAGUCGAAUGUGAAAGCCCCCGGCUUAACUGGGGAGGGUCAUUCGAUACUGCUCGACUUGAAGGCAGGGAGAGGGAAGUGGAAUUCCCGGUGUAGUGGUGAAAUUCGUAGAUAAUUCGGAAGAACACCAGUUGGCGAAGGCGGCUCACUGGCCCGGUACUGACGCUGAGAAUACGAAAGCGUGGGGAG
rnacentral:rRNA from 1 species